rnacentral:rRNA from 1 species
UACGUAGGGGGCAAGCGUUGUCCGGAAUCAUUGGGCGUAAAGAGCGUGUAGGCGGCUCGAUAAGUCUGCUGUGAAAGUCCAGGGCUCAACCCUGGAAUGCCGGUGGAAACUGUCAGGCUCGAGUCCGGAAGAGGCGAGUGGAAUUCCUGGUGUAGCGGUGAAAUGCGCAGAUAUCAGGAGGAACACCAAUGGCGAAGGCAGCUCGCUGGGACGGUACUGACGCUGAGACGCGAAAGCGUGGGGAGCAAACAGG